GAGUUUGAUCCUGGCUCAGGAUGAACGCUGGCGGCGUGCUUAACACAUGCAAGUCGAACGAAGCACUUUACCACGAUUCCUUCGGGAUGACGGUUUAGUGACUGAGUGGCGGACGGGUGAGUAACGCGUGGGGAACCUGCCCCAUACCGGGGGAUAACAGCCGGAAACGGCUGCUAAUACCGCAUAAGCGCACAGUACCGCAUGGUACGGUGUGAAAAACUCCGGUGGUAUGGGAUGGACCCGCGUCUGAUUAGCCAGUUGGCGGGGUAACGGCCCACCAAAGCGACGAUCAGUAGCCGGCCUGAGAGGGCGACCGGCCACAUUGGGACUGAGACACGGCCCAGACUCCUACGGGAGGCAGCAGUGGGGAAUAUUGCACAAUGGGGGAAACCCUGAUGCAGCGACGCCGCGUGAGUGAGGAAGUAUUUCGGUAUGUAAAGCUCUAUCAGCAGGGAAGAAGAAAUGACGGUACCUGACUAAGAAGCCCCGGCUAACUACGUGCCAGCCGCCGCGGUAAUUC
rnacentral:rRNA from 1 species